rnacentral:rRNA from 1 species
UACGUAGGGUGCAAGCGUUGUCCGGAAUUAUUGGGCGUAAAGAGCUCGUAGGCGGUUUGUCGCGUCUGCUGUGAAAACGCGAGGCUCAACCUCGCGCCUGCAGUGGGUACGGGCAGACUAGAGUGCGGUAGGGGAGAAUGGAACUCCUGGUGUAGCGGUGGAAUGCGCAGAUAUCAGGAAGAACACCGAUGGCGAAGGCAGCUUGCUGGGACGGUACUGACGCUGAGGCGCGAAAGCGUGGGGAGCAAACAGGAUUAGAU